GAGAAAGAAGAAUCCUUGAUUGACAUUAAUGUAGAACAGACAAAAAUUUUGCAAGUGAAUUUGUUGGGAAAUGAAGCUCGUCUCCAUGCCUGGGAAUGUUUUGAUCAGAAUUGAGCGCCCUGAACUUACUGAAAAGUUGACCUUUCUUCUAAAAGAGGGAUAUCAGCAUGAAGAAGUUGGCCCUUUAAGCGGACUGAUAAGAGCUGUGAAUCCACUGGCUGAAGGCCAGCUCGUUACUCUGAGGUGGGAAAGGAGACAAAACACACAUGACCACGGAGAUGUCUUCGGACAGCGCUGGCUCUUCGGCUUUGAAACGGAGAUGAGCACCGCCCCCUAGAGUCGGCAACGACUAGCACGUUCCAGGAGUCUUCAAAACCUUUUUGAAACUCUGGCAUCUUUCAGCUGAAGGUGGAAAAAGUAGGUGUUUGGGAUUAAACUGUUUGAAU